UCCGACAAAGCAGAUCUACCACACUUACCUGGUUCUUCAACGAAGCAGAUCCUCCCGUCAUCGUCCGCUACGGUCUCCUCACCACGACGACACAUCUUUCUUCAUCUUUCCCAGCCUCCAUUUUCGUUUAUACUCCAGCAAAUUUACCGAAGCUUCGAUUUCGUCAUCUUUCCCAGCCCUCGGCUGAUUCUCCGAUGAUCAUCCCACAAAAGCUUCAAUUUUUCGUCUUCCAGGUUUCAAUCAACAGAAUCUGAUGGGGUUACAUCAACUGGUUUCGAUUUCUUCUAGGGUUUCGAUAUCGAUCGAGAUGCCAAAAACUUGAAAAGAUCGAGGUGCCAAAAAGAUGGACAGAUUUUCGUUACAGAAGAUGAAGACUCGUUUUCGUUUAAAAAAAGGGGUUUUGCAUCGAGUUCAUAUGAAACCUUCCUAUUUCAUAGAGUUCAUCAAUAGGUUUUGCAAUUUAUUUAGUCUACAAAAAAUGAGUUUGUAUUUGAUAUUGUUGCAUUUGAUCUGGUUUGUUCUUCAAAAAAGAACGUUCCCAUGGGUUCAUUGAUUUGAUCUUGAUUUUGAA